UGCAUUUGUAGCCUAUGAGGAUGAGAACCUCCGGGGGCAGGGAGGUUCGACUCGAGCGAAGCGAGAGAACGUUGCGCCAGCAACGGCCCGCAGGGCGAGCCACGAAGUGGCGAGUAAUCCUCUAUCACCGACCA
rnacentral:sRNA from 3 species